rnacentral:rRNA from 1 species
GAUGAACGCUGGCGGCGUGCCUAAUACAUGCAAGUCGAGCGAACGGACGAGAAGCUUGCUUUUCUGAUGUUAGCGGCGGACGGGUGAGUAACACGUGGAUAACCUACCUAUAAGACUGGGAUAACUUCGGGAAACCGGAGCUAAUACCGGAUAAUAUUUUGAACCGCAUGGUUCAAAAGUGAAAGACGGUCUUGCUGUCACUGAUAGAUGGAUCCGCGCUGCAUUAGCUAGUUGGUAAGGUAACGGCUUACCAAGGCAACGAUGCAUAGCCGACCUGAGAGGGUCGUCGGCCACACUGAAACUGAGACACGGUCCAGACUCCUACGGGAGGCAGCAGUAGGUAAUCUUCCGCAAUGGGCGAAAGCCUGACGGAGCAACGCCGCGUGAGUGAUGAAGGUCUUCGGAUCGUAAAACUCUGUUAUUAGGGAAGAACAUAUGUGUAAGUAACUGUGCACAUCUUGACGGUACCUAAUCAGAAAGCCACGGCUAACUACGUG